UUUUCUUCUCUCCUGACAUCCAGAUUAAGGACAAAACCUGGGAGACUUUGGAAUUGUUUUCAGCCUCUUCACCAUUUCAUAUUGAAAUCAAGCAGGGCCUGCCAGGCCCUGCCAGGAACACUGUCCCUGCCAUCUUCUCCACUGUUAGCCAGCUGCUGAAUUGCAAACUCUAUGGACCACCGGGAAAACAGAAUACAUCAGAUUGUCUAUACAACCUGAUAGGGAAUGCUGAUACAUAAUGAGGGGAGUGACAUUAGCAAGUUUCAAAAAAUCCUUAAGAAUCAUUAUCAGAAAUCACAUUGGUAUUUAUUGGAAAGUAGAGACUAGAUUUAGACCUUUGUACCCAGUUAUAUAUGAAAAGCAAUGAACUUCUCUGAUCGCUGUAUCUAAAAUAUUAGCCAUAGAUUCUACCCUCUUAUUCUAUGUUAUGUUCCUUUGUAGGCUUUAUUAUUACUGAUUUUUUUUGUUUGCUUUCUGCUUCUUGUACUGGAAUAAAAGCUUCGUUGAUGCAA